GCCUGGCUGGCUAGUCUAUGGGGUUGCAAAGAAUCGGACACUGAGUGACUGACACUUUCAUACUUCUUUCAUCUCCAUUUUACAGAUAAGAAAACUGAGGCACAAGGCAAUGAGGUGACUUGCCCAAGGUCAUCUCUUAGUAGGAAGAGGAGCCAGAUUCCAACCCACGCUCUCUGGAACCUGCAUUCACGUUCCUAACGCUCUUUGCUUCUGUCUCUUGUUCAUCUUGGGAAGCCAGACAACUCCCAGAGCUUGUGAAGUGAGGAGCUUGUUUUUAUCACAUGUAUCCUCUUACUACAUGGGAAAUCUCUCUCUCUGCUAAUUGCUGUCAUCAUCCAUCAAGAUCACCAACAGAGCAGCAUUCCAGCCAGAGAGGCCUUGGGGCCCAGGUGAGCUCCAGGACCAGGAAGCCAGGGGCCCAUAUGGGGCUGCACCUGCUGGGCAUCUCCAUCAGGAGGCGCCAAGGAGGCACACGCAGUCGGAGUCCGGACCAGCCUCUCAGGCUGUGUACCUUGGAGUCAUUGGCCCUGGGACUACCAAGCCACCUACCUUGGGGACCUGGGGGUGGCGGAGCUAUGUGGUGCAGGAUGCCUUCAACAUUUUAA
rnacentral:lncRNA from 2 species